rnacentral:lncRNA from 1 species
CUCCCUUCCCGCCCCGGGAGCACGUGACCCUCGCCUGCCUGCCUGGGCCUGGCCUGCUCGAGGCUGCGCGCGCACGCCCUUCCCUUCCUCCUCCUCCUCCUCCUCCCUGACAGGCCUGCCUUUGCCGCCUCCACCCAGGAAGGAAGGAAGGAAGGAAGGAAGGAAGGAAAGGAGGAAAAAGGAGAAGGCUCUCUCUCUCUCUCUCUCUCAACCUUCCCUCGAGGAAGAGGCAGGUGGCCCUCCAGAAUCCGUGUUCCUGGGCAAAAAGGACGCCAUGUUUCCCUGGAAUAUUUCCGCGAGCAAAAGCAGGGGGAUUCCGAUGCAGAAACGUCACGACUGACCUCCACGCUGGAUUGGGAUGAUGUGGGAGUGCUGCGAAUAAUGGGAAUGAAGGCAACGCUCCUCUAACGUGGGAGAACCUCGACCUGCCUUUUGCGUUAUCCUCUUCGAACUGAGUUUCAACACAACCUCUGUUCUUCUCGACCAGGAAGAUAGACCCACAGGAAAUGGGGAUGUUGUGACUUUCAUUCUGGAACAAUUGCCCGGGAAGCCGUGCCCGUCCGCUUCUCUGAUUACGGGAAUAUAAACCCAUCAAAACGAGAACGUUGUGACCGAAAAGGCUUGCCCGGGAAGCUGUUCUCAUCUGUUUCUUCUAGAAACCAAUUGAAAAUGGGAAUGUUGUGACUUGUCCAGGAAACCAUGAUCUGUCCAUUUUUUCGAUUAUGGGGAAGUUGUGAUUUGUUCUGAGACCGUUAUUCUGAAGCCGUGAUUUGUCUGUUCCUCCGAUUAUGGGGAUGUUGUGACGAUCGACCGUGAUUUCUCAGUUUCUUCGAUUAUGAGAUUUUUUUGACUCGUACCGAGACGAUUGCCCAUGAAGCGGUGAUUUGUCCGUUUAUCCAAUUACGGGGAGACGUACUCCGUAAAAAAUCGGCAUGACUGCCUGCUAAUCAGUUGCCCGUCCGCCUGUCUUGGAGUGGCGGUUGAUCCUUCAGGUGUGUGUCGUGGGUGGGACACCCGCAGGAUUUGUGCCAGGAGCCCCCACGGAGAUGAGAAGGGCGGUCCAGGACUGGUAGGACCCUCUCAGCCCGCCCGCCC